CAGUGGUUGCUUUCAGAAUUAUCUUUUCCUCACUCUAAAGGCAGGGAGACUGUUUGUCAUUUCAGCUUCUGUUCAGUAAUGACCUGGAGUUCUAUUUACCAAGUGAAUUGCAUUAGAAAUUCAGAGCUAGCAGACCCUUGGGCUUCUGACUGGACUGCACAUAUGCAUCUUUAUACUGCCACAAUGUACGUUCAGUUGGAAGUGAUAUCAUUGAAGUCACCAUUAUGGCUUUUACUGGGCUGGAACUUGAAAUAACUCAUAAAUAACACUUGGAUUCAUCUUCAGGGAUUUUUUUGUCCUUUUUGGAAACCUGUAACAAAUUGUGCAGCUUAACAGUGGUAUGCCUUCAUGCUCAGGUCUGCAGCUGCAAUAAUAAUUUCCUAGGGAGCCCAGUUUUCAGAAAAGAUGUGAGGCCUUUAUCCAGAUUUCCAGAUCUGCUUGUUAAUUGAUGGAUGGAUUGUGUGGCGAGUUCCCAGGAGUCCUCGAAGAGCUAUGCUGAAUUUGGAUGGGUUUUCUGCUUGUGUGCAUCUGCCUCAUUAGUUUGCCAACGUGUCCUGAAAUUCUUGUGAGGAAAGUCAUCAUCAGUACAAGCUGACUUACUGCAGCAGAGUUACAGCAGAACAGGUUGGGUUUCCUGCCAACAAAACUUGCGGUCAUGUCACAUAGAAUCUGAGACUCUCACCAAAAUGUUGAUUGGACCAAAUUAUCAACUAGGAUAUCUGUUGUUUGUUUGUUUUCUUUUCUCAAUAAAAAGUUGGCUAUUACU
rnacentral:lncRNA from 7 species